rnacentral:rRNA from 1 species
AUGGCGGACAAGGACGAGGAGCAGCAGCAGCAGCAGCCGCUACACAUCCUCUUCUUCCCCUUCCUCAUCCCGGGCCACCUCAUUCCGAUGGCCGACAUCGCCGUGGUCUUCGCGGCUCGCGGCGUCAGGUGCACCAUCCUCACCACCCCCGUUCAGGCUUCCAUCAUCGGCUCCAUCGUCGACCGCGCCAACAGCAACGACGACCUCUCUUCCCAGUCGGUCCAUGUCGCCGUCGUGCCUUUCCCCGACGUCGGGCUCCCGCCGGCUGGCCAGCGCGGCACGGGCCUUGUAUCCCAGGAAGAUAAAGUGAAGUUCGGCCGGGCGGUGCAGCUGCUCCGGGAGCCCUUCGAACGGUUCCUGGCUGACAGCCAUGCCGACCUCGACGCCGUGGUCUCCGACGGCUUCUACCACUGGUCCGUGGACGUCGCGGCUGAAUACGGCGUGCCGCGUCUCAUGUUCCUCGGCAUGGGUGUGUUCGCCCGGUCCUGCUCCGAGCACGUGUUGUCGCAGGAGCAUAGGCACAACCCCGACGGCGACGAUCCUGAUGCCGUCGUGUCGCUGCCGGGUCUACCGCACGGCGUGGAGCUGAGGCGGAGCCAGAUGAUGAAGGAGCCGCACUACCUGGAGUUCUUCCGGUGCGUCUAUGCCGCAGGCCGGAGGAGCUACGGCGAGCUGUUCAACAGCUUCCAAGAGCUGGAGCGGGACAGCGCCGAGCACUACCGCACG